CCUUCCUCCUUCCUCUUUGCACCCCUCCAUGACUCCUUGGGCUCCCUGAGAGGAGGGAACAGCAGCUUUGGGGAGCACUGCCCAUGACACUCCUUCCCCUUCCUUCCUGGUUAUGAAUCAACGAAUACAGCAAAGGCUGCAGCUGAUCCCUACUUGCCCUCUGCUCUUUUCCUGUAGCAGCAAAGUGAAACGGAGCACCCUCAGCAAGAUGCAGGUGGAGAGACAGUAUCUACCAAGCCUGACCUAAGAGCAUGGGUUUCAAACCCUCUGGAGCUGGUCCUUUCCAUGAAUGGAAAAAAAAUUGUGCCACGAUUACUGGAGGAAUUGCUGUUAUUUCCUGUGUCAUAUCGUUUCUCUUUUGGAAACGUGCAGCUCAGGCGAAGGAGGAGAAAGGCCAACUGCAAGGCCAGCUAG